rnacentral:rRNA from 1 species
CCUNUGGCUUAACUGGGGGCUUGCGGUGGGUACGGGCCGGCUUGAGUGCGGUAGGGGAGACUGGAACUCCUGGUGUAGCGGUGGAAUGCGCAGAUAUCAGGAAGAACACCGGUGGCGAAGGCGGGUCUCUGGGCCGUUACUGACGCUGAGGAGCGAAAGCGUGGGGAGCGAACAGGAUUAGAUACCCUGGUAGUNCACGCCGUAAACGUUGGGCACUAGGUGUGGGGGGCCUUUUCCGGNUCUUCCGCGCCGUAGCUAACGCAUUAAGUGCCCCGCCUGGGGAGUACGGCCGCAAGGCUAAAACUCAAAGGAAUUGACGGGGGCCCGCACAAGCGGCGGAGCAUGCGGAUUAAUUCGAUGCAACGCGAAGAACCUUACCAAGGCUUGACAUGUGCCGGUCGGCUCCGGAGACGGGGUUUCCUCCUUGUGGGGCCGGUUCACAGGUGGUGCAUGGUUGUCGUCAGCUCGUGUCGUGAGAUGUUGGGUUAAGUCCCGCAACGAGCGCAACCCUUGUCCCGUGUUGCCAGCACGUUGUGGUGGGGACUCGCGGGAGACUGCCGGGGUCAACUCGGAGGAAGGUGGGGAUGACGUCAAAUCAUCAUGCCCCUUAUGUCUUGGGCUUCACGCAUGCUACAAUGGCCGGUACAGAGGGCUGCGAUACCGUGAGGUGGAGCGAAUCCCUUAAAGCCGGUCUCAGUUCGGAUCGGUGUCUGCAACUCGACACCGUGAAGUUGGAGUCGCUAGUAAUCGCAGAUCAGCAACGCUGCGGUGAAUACGUUCUCGGGCCUUGUACACACCGCCCGUCACGUCAUGAAAGUCGGCAACACCCGAAGCCCGUGGCCCUACGGGGAGCGGUCGAAGGUGGGGCUGG